rnacentral:rRNA from 1 species
GACGAACGCUGGCGGCGUGCCUAAUACAUGCAAGUCGAGCGAAGUUUUUCUGGUGCUUGCACUAGAAAAACUUAGCGGCGAACGGGUGAGUAACACGUAAAGAACCUGCCUCAUAGACUGGGACAACUAUUGGAAACGAUAGCUAAUACCGGAUAACAGUAUUUCUCGCAUGAGAGAUAUUUAAAAGUUGGUUAUGCUAACACUAUGAGAUGGCUUUGCGGUGCAUUAGCUAGUUGGUGGGGUAAAGGCCCACCAAGGCGACGAUGCAUAGCCGACCUGAGAGGGUGAUCGGCCACACUGGGACUGAGACACGGCCCAGACUCCUACGGGAGGCAGCAGUAGGGAAUCUUCCGCAAUGGGCGAAAGCCUGACGGAGCAACGCCGCGUGAGUGAAGAAGGAUUUCGGUUCGUAAAGCUCUGUUGUUAGGGAAGAAUGGAUAUGUAGUAACUAUACAUAUAA